rnacentral:tRNA from 1 species
CCAUGAGAAAGCUAUGCUCAUUCAUAGAUUUACAAUCUACCGACUUAUCAUUCGACCACCUCAUA